CAUUGUGGGAAAUUAAGUCUUUGCGUGCAUUCCGUUUUCCGAAGAAUUGUCUCACAAUAUCAAGUGUCUCUGCCGUGUCCAUCACCUCUUGAUGACUCUCUGCUACCCUGGGACAGGACAAGAACCUGAGGAACAUCUCAUUGAGAUACAUCAGGCAAAAUGGCAACGAAGCAUCUCUUAUGACAUUGCGAAUGGAAAGCUUAUCCUGAAGACAACACAUGU